UACGUAGGGGGGCAAGCGUUGUCCGGAAUCAUUGGGCGUAAAGAGCGUGUAGGCGGCCCGGUAAGUCCGCUGUGAAAAGUCGGGGGGCUCAACCCUCGAAUGCCGGUGGAUACUGUCGGGCUAGAGUCCGGAAGAGGAGAGUGGAAUUCCUGGUGUAGCGGUGAAAUGCGCAGAUAGUCAGGAAGAACACCCGUCGGCGAAAGGG
rnacentral:rRNA from 1 species